AUGUAGGUACCUUGUUUUAGAUAUAGCAGAUAACCCUGUGGAAAAUAUUAUUAGAUAUUUCCAAAUGACUAAAGAAUUUAUUGAUGGAUGUUUAGAGACAGGGGGAAAGGUACUUGUUCAUGGAAAUGCAGGGAUAUCAAGAAGCGCUGCCUUAGUUAUUGCCUACCUUAUGGAGACAUUUGGUGUGAAAUACAGGGAUGCCUUUAGUCAUGUACAAGAGAGACGAUUUUGCAUUAAUCCCAAUGUAGGCUUUGUUCAUCAGCUACAGGUAU